CUCCCGGUGGCCAAGCUGGUUUAAGGCGCGAGACUGUAAAAAUCUUGAGAUCGGGCGUUCGACUCGCCCCCGGGAGA
rnacentral:tRNA from 1 species